rnacentral:rRNA from 1 species
UGGGGAAUCUUGCACAAUGGAGGAAACUCUGAUGCAGCGACGCCGCGUGAGCGAAGAAGCCUUUCGGGGUGUAAAGCUCUUACGCCAGGGACGAUAAUGACGGUACCUGGAGAAGCAGCUGCGGCUAACUACGUGCCAGCAGCCGCGGUAAUACGUAGGCAGCAAGCGUUGUUCGGAAUUACUGGGCGUAAAGGGUGCGUAGGCGGCGCUCUAAGUUUGGUGUGAAAUCUCCCGGCUUAACUGGGAGGGUGCACUGAAAACUGGGGCGCUCGAGUAUGGGAGAGGAAAGCGGAAUUCCUGGUGUAGCGGUGAGAUGCGUAGAGAUCAGGAGCAACACCUGCGGUGCAGGCGGCUUUCUGGACCAUCACUGACGCUGAGGCACGAAAGCGUGGGUAGCAAACA